CGAACCCGGUAGUUAAGCCCUCCAUCGCCGAUGAUACUGCAUGGUAGCGUGUGGGAAAGUAGGUCGCCGCCAAGG
rnacentral:rRNA from 1 species